CAGAUUGGUACUUGAAAGUCAAUGGUUGAUCAUGAUGACGAUGACCAUCUUUAAUUUAAUGGGGAAAGAUUAACCAACAUUUGCAGCUGGACAGGCUAUCACCACAGUUCAAUGAUUUAGUUAAGACAAGAAAUAGAAGAACUUCUUGCUAACACUUGCAUCAGUGGAAGUACUUCUUAUUGGAUAGAGAACUUUUCAAGGUCAGCCAUCAGCUUUUGAAGUUGCUUUCUUGGCACAUCAUCCUGUCCAGUGGAGUUCAUACCAUAUGCCAGGCCUUUAUACAUGGUCAAAGCAGAUGAAUUUGUUAUUCAAUUUGUGAAAUUUGAUUUAAGGAGGACUUUCAUAUAUGAUGAAUAUAUUCAGCAGAUUAUCUUCAAGUGUGCACUUCAUAGAAUCACAGUUUCUAGGAGGUUUUCAGUUUAAAGUUAGAUUAAUUGAAAAAUAAGGAAACCUAUCAUACUCACCAUGGAUACUGAUCUUACAUUUCAUAUAUGCCAUCAGAUUGACUUGGACCGCCAGUGAAGAUACAUAUUGACUGAAUUUAUGACAAAAGUACCUCCCUUUAUUUUUAGCUCACCUGUCACAAAGUGACAAGGUGAGCUUUUGUGAUCGUGCGG
rnacentral:lncRNA from 1 species